GGAUGUGAGGGCGGUCUGCCUGUGACAUCUGUCACCCCAUUGAUCACCAGGGUUGAUUUGGCUGAUCUGGCUGGAUAGGCGGGUGUCCCCUUCCUCCCUCACCACUCCAUAUACGUCCCUCUUGAAGCUGUGCACUCGGUUGAAGAGGACAGCCUUCCCUGAAUAGAGACGGACUGGUCUUCAGUUGAGGGUAUAUGAGUAGCUGCAUUCCCCUGCUAGAACCUCCAAACAAGCUCUCAAGAAUAGGAAAGCUUCCAAUGGAGGGGAUGGGAUUUGGAACUCUGGUGGUGGGAAUUGUGUGGAAUUGUACCCCUUAUC
ensembl:misc_RNA 7SK 7SK RNA